AACGAACGCUGGCGGCAGGCCUAACACAUGCAAGUCGAGCGAAGCCUUCGGGCUUAGCGGCGGACGGGUGAGUAACGCGUGGGAACGUGCCCUUUGGUACGGAAUAGCCCCGGGAAACUGGGAGUAAUACCGUAUGUGGUCGAGAGACGAAAGAUUUAUCGCCAAAGGAUCGGCCCGUAUUGUAUCAGUUAGUUGGUGGGGUAAUGGCUUACCAAGACUAUGACACAUAACUGGUUUGAGAGGAUGAUCAGUCACACUGGAACUGAGACACGGUCCAGACUCCUACGGGAGGCAGCAGUGGGGAAUCUUAGACAAUGGGGGAAACCCUGAUCUAGCCAUGCCGCGUGAUCGAUGAAGGCCUUAGGGUUGUAAAGAUCUUUCAGUGGGGAAGAUAAUGACUGUACCCACAGAAGAAGCCCCGGCUAACUCCGUGCCAGCAGCCGCAGUAACAC
rnacentral:rRNA from 1 species